UGUCACGUAGUACAUUGAUAUCGUAAAUUAAUUGAAUAACUAAGCAGUUUCAUAAUGAAAAUCCAGCAGAUUACCGUUCCUAUUUCAACUCUUCCCGACGAAGAUCUUCCAGCAUGGGCAAAACACCUUGAGUGUGCCGCCAACAACUUGCAUCUGUUCGAGCCAAUAACUGCGGGCGAACUGACUAAGCUAAAGGAAGACUUAGAGAAAGUCUACUUUGAAAUGUGGAAGAGAUCAUAUCAGCCGGUAGUUGCUGAGAUUAAAAUCCGACUUGCACAGUUGAAGAAGUGAAACUUACAGGCUGUAUUCCUUGUUUUAAAAUUGUUUGUGUUAAAUUAAACCAAUCACUGAUACUACGAUGUAUUGCCAUCUGUAAUAAAUGAAAUUAAAUAUUUUAAAAUGA